rnacentral:rRNA from 1 species
GACGAACGCUGGCGGCGUGCCUAAUACAUGCGAGUCGAACGAGAGCGACCGGUGCUUGCACUGGUCAAUCUAGUGGCGAACGGGUGAGUAACACGUGGGUAACCUGCCCAUCAGAGGGGGAUAACAUCCGGAAACGGAUGCUAAAACCGCAUAGGUCUUCGAGCCGCAUGGCUUGAAGAGGAAAAGAGGCGCAAGCUUCUGCUGAUGGAUGGACCCGCGGUGCAUUAGCUAGUUGGUGAGGUAACGGCUCACCAAGGCCGUGAUGCAUAGCCGACCUGAGAGGGUGAUCGGCCACUUUGGGACUGAGACACGGCCCAAACUCCUACGGGAGGCAGCAAUAGGGAAUCUUCCGCAAUGGACGCAAGUCUGACGGAGCAACGCCGCGUGAGUGAAGAAGGUUUUCGGAUCGUAAAACUCUGUUGUUAGAGAAGAACAAGUGCUAGAGUAACUGUUAGCGCCUUGACGGUAUCUAACCAGAAAGCCACGGCUAACUACGUG